GACGUAGGGCGCGAGCGUUGUCCGGAUUUAUUGGGCGUAAAGAGCUCGUAGGCGGCUUGUCGCGUCGACUGUGAAAACCCGUGGCUCAACCAUGUGGUCUGCAGUCGAUACGGGCAGACUAGAGUGCGGUAGGGGAGACUGGAAUUCCUGGUGUAGCGGUGAAAUGCGCAGAUAUCAGGAGGAACACCGGUGGCGAAGGCGGGUCUCUGGGCCGUAACUGACGCUGAGGAGCGAAAGCGUGGGGAGCGAACAGG
rnacentral:rRNA from 1 species